rnacentral:lncRNA from 1 species
GUCAUGGAGUGGGCCAAUGGCAGGCUGCCUUAUAUAAAAUGAGUGUUUUCAGUCUCUCUGGGUUGCAUGUACUGUAUGUGGAGCAGUGUACAGUGAAGCGGAGGCAGAGCGGCUCCGCGAGCUCUUCUCCACUUUCCCAUAGAGAAACCCUGACUGGCCGCUGAGGGCGAGCCACACACACGCCCUCACGCCCGGCGAGCCCGCGAGGCAGCGUCGCCCGAGGGGGGCACCGGAGCCGGGGCGCGGGCUGAGCAGCCGGAGGAAAACAACAACAGAGCCCUCACGCCGGCGGGCGGCUCGUGGCCGCCCGGGGAGCCCAAACUUCAUCUCGGCGAAAGUCACUGUCAUAUGACAAAGGCUUUACUGCAGUUCAUCUUCCUCCCUGUGUACUUUCCAUUUACCUUCCUGGAAUCCUGCUACAUCACAGACGCUGGAAGUUCUGAUGUUCCAUUGUAAUCACAAUGGAAAGUCCUGACUUGACUGGCACCCUCAGGAAGACCCCAAGCCUCUAGCAGUACCUGGUAUCAUCUCCAGCAUGUUGUAGAUGUGGAGGAUUCACUGGGAUAUUGAGAAAUACCAGAGGCGAAUUGUUCCACUGUAGUAAGUCCAUCAGCAUUUAUACAGUAACUGCUGUUCAUAGAGCAAAGUUGGUGG